rnacentral:tRNA from 1 species
GUGUCUGUAGCCUAGUGGCAAAAGGCAGCACUCUAGAUGCUGAGGUCAUGGGUUUGAAUCCCACCAGACACA